UUACCCCCGUGGAAAUUAGCAUAUCAAUAAGGGAAAAAACCAACAGGGAUGCCCUAGUAACGGCGAGUGAAGCGGCAACAGCUCAAAUUUGAAAUCUGGCCCCCUCGGGGUCCGAGUUGUAAUUUGCAGAGGGUGCUUUGGCAUAGGCGGCGGUCUAAGUUCCUUGGAACAGGACAUCGCAGAGGGUGAGAAUCCCGUAUGUGGGCGCCUGCCUUUGCCGUGUAAAGCCCCUUCGACGAGUCGAGUUGUUUGGGAAUGCAGCUCUAAAUGGGAGGUAAAUUUCUUCUAAAGCUAAAUACCGGCCAGAGACCGAUAGCGCACAAGUAGAGUGAUCGAAAGAUGAAAAGUACUUUGGAAAGAGAGUCAAAUAGCACGUGAAAUUGUUGAAAGGGAAGCGCUUGCAGCCAGACGUGUCCGCAGUUGCUCACCCGGGCUCUUGCCCGGGGCACUCUUCUGCGGGCAGGCCAGCAUCAGUUUGGGCGGUCGGAUAAAGGCCUCUGUCAAGUAUCUUCCUUCGGGAUGACCUUAUAGGGGAGGCGUAAUGCGGCCAGCCCGGACUGAGGUCCGCGCUUUUUGCUAGGAUGCUGGCGUAAUGGCUGUAAGCGGCCCGUCUUGAAACACGGACCAAGGAGUCUAACAUCUAUGCGAGUGUUUGGGUGUCAAGCCCGGGCGCGUAAUGAAAGUGAACGGAGGUGGGAUCCCUUCGGGGUGCACCAUCGACCGAUCCUGAUGUCUUCGGAUGGAUUUGAGUAAGAGCAUAGCUGUUGGGACCCGAAAGAUGGUGAACUAUGCUUGAAUAGGGUGAAGCCAGAGGAAACUCUGGUGGAGGCUCGCAGCGGUUCUGACGUGCAAAUCGAUCGUCAAAUUUGGGCAUAGGGGCGAAAGACUAAUCGAACCAU
rnacentral:rRNA from 1 species